CCCCAGCGCCACAAGUGGGAACCACGCUUAUUGGGUCUAAAGCAUCCGUAGCCGGUUUUGCAAAUGCCCUGUGAAAUCGUUGCGCUCAACGUAACGACGUGCAGGGUAGACUACAAAACUAGGGACCAGAGGAAGUAGACGGUAUUCCUGAGGGAGCGGUAAAAUGUGAUAAUCUCAGGAGGACCACCGAUGGCGAAGGCAGUCUACUAAUAUGGAUCCGACGGUGAGGGAUGAAAGCUAGGGGAGCGAUCCGG
rnacentral:rRNA from 1 species